rnacentral:ncRNA from 2 species
UUGCUAACGCGGGGGUCCUGCAAUGCUCCCGGUCGAACCGACCGGCGUUGUGGGUGAGAAAUACCCUUUGAACCUGAUCUGGAUAAUGCCAGCGCAGGGAAGCGUACGGAUUUCGCCG